AAAUUAAUAAUGUAAUUAAUAUGUUUUUUGCCCAUUCCUACAGAUCGUUCAACAAGUGAGAGGGAGUUGGAAGUUCAGUUUGGUCGUACUGAAACAACCAUUGUCUACAUGGGUGUGGUCUUUGGUGAACUACAUCCUUGAUUGGCCGUUUUCGUCUUCGCUUUGCAUCAUUAUGCAGUUAGUUUUGAACUGUUGAGUGAGAGCAACAGAAUAUUUAUUUGAUUUCCACUGAAAUAAGGAAUUUUCUGCAUUGGCAUUAUUCCUGGAUUUGGUUUGCUUUUCCCACCUGCAAACUUUGAAACAUUACAGUCUACAGUGAAUUAAGGAACGUUGGAAGAAUUCCAAAUUCUGUUAAAUUGUGGAGUAUUUAUUGUCUCAGUCGUCAAUCGCUCAAGAAAGUAGCGUUUCCUAUGGUCCUAAAAAGAGCAUAAAAACGUCAUUUAUCCAGUGUGCUGUUGUUGAAGAAAGGAUUUAUGACAAUGAACUGAUUGUCGUAACAGAUAAGAAGGAAUUGGUGCUACUGAAACAACCGAUGCUUUUGAUGUUUUCACCUUGCAACAUUAUGCAGUUAGUUUUGGCCCUGAAAAUGGCAGGCAAGUGAAAAUUAAUUCGGAAGUCACUGAAACAACAAGUUUUCUGCAGUGGUAUCCCUCCUAGAUUUGAUUUGCUCAUCAUACUGGCAGACUUUGGAACGCUACAUUCUACAAUUGGUUAAGAUCGUUCAACAAGUGAGAGGGAGUUGGAAGUUCAGUUUGGUCGUACUGAAACAACCAUUGUCUACAUGGGUGUGGUCUUUGGUGAACUACAUCCUUGAUUUGCUGUUUUCGUCUUCGCUUUGCAUCAUUAUGCUGUUAGUUUUGAACUGAUGAGUGAGAGCAACUGAAUAUUUAUUUGAUUUCCACUGAAAUAAGGAAUUUUCUGCAUUGGCAUUAUUCCUAGAUU